rnacentral:lncRNA from 1 species
AAUACGUAUUGGGAUAUAGUCAUUGAACCCCAUGAGUUUCUCUUUGAUUCUGUUUUUCUUAUCUGUUAUGAGCGUCCUAUGAAAUCUGCAGGGUUUUUGAAUAAAUGUUUUGAUUACCAGGUUUUGUUUAAGAGGCUAGUUGUUAGUGUUUAUUUAUAUUCUUUGGUUUUGUGGAUGUGGAACUUAGUCCAAAGACAGCCACACUUAGUUAAAGUUUUAGCGAUCAGAAUAUUUCAUAUUCUAUGGCUUGGUUCUUAUGUGAUAUGCAGUUUUUGGGUGAUAAGUCGAGUCAUGAAUUAAGAGAUAAGAAACGUGUUGUUUAUCUCUCAAUGGUUCUACUGUAAAUUAUGAUAAAAGAAAUAUCUAUGGGUAUACGUGUCUUGGAUGAGAUGGUGUUGUUGUAACGAUUUGUAUAUUGAUUCUGGAACUUGGGACUUUUAUUGGAUAAGGCAUAUUGCCAUGGAACUCUUGAUAAGGACUAUCGUCGAGCAUCAUGUGAUGCAGGUUGGAACGAUGCUUACAUA